rnacentral:misc_RNA from 1 species
UAUAUAGAGAGAGAGAGAGAGAAGAGAUAUAGCAAAAAAAAAAAAGAAGAAGAGAAAAAUCAGUGUGUACAGCAAACAUUCUUCUUGGACAUAGAAGAAAGAAUUUAUUUGAGAAGAAUGUUUCAUCGUGGUGUUAUUUAUCGUUAGCAUGUAGUGCUUUGGGAUCAUCAGUUUUUUUAAUAGAAUCCUUUACCGGAUUCCGCUCAAUUAUUAAAUCUUCAUCGGGACGAUGUUUGUCAGGACUUUACAAUUACUUCCACAUUGAAGAUACUUUUUUUUUCUUCCCUCUAUAAAUUAAAUACUUUUGUACCAGCAACGUAACAUUGCGAGAGUGUCUCAAUCGUACCGUUAUAGGGUAUCGUUUAUAUAGUUUAAUUAUAUUUAGUUUCUUUUUUUUUCAUUUUUUCUUUCGAUAUUUAUUAUGUCGACGAAAAUUUAAAAGUAGUAAAAAAAAUAUGAGCAUAUCGUUGGAUGCAUAAAUUCGUUCAAUCUUUACGCUCGGACCUUGUGGUGAAGAAAAAUUCGGUGACCUUGACAGUCCUGGAAGGUCAUCGACACAGUUGGUGUGCCGCGAUUCCAAAAUAGGAAUCGUGGGGUGAUUUUUAAAAGUGUGUUAAAGUGUAUAAUAACUAAUUUUUUUUUCUUUUUCCAUUUUUUCUUCUUAAACCAUUAACUCGUUCAGUGUCCGCCAACGCGUGCGGACCCAUAAUCAUUGUUCGCAAAGAUGCCGAAGAUUUUUCUCAUCAAAAAUCGACUUCACCAGCAACAAUUAAGACUUCUUGAAGCUCAACAUGUUGGCAAAAGUCCUUCCCCUUGCAGCGGUAAGGAAAGUCCACUUGGUACCUCGGAACCGCUCAGUCUAAUUGUGAAUAAACAUCAAUAUCGCGAUAAAACUGAGGACGAUCGUGCUACUACACCGGAAUCAUUAAGAAGCAGUAGUCCAGUACCAUCGCCACCACCAGUACCAUGUCAAUCAACAAACAACACACCAUCCAAUACACCACCGAGACGUUUUAUUUCAAGUAUACUUGGUGGAGAUGUACCUUAUGGAAGUAGAGGUCACGUAUUAACACGUGCAGAACGCAAAGAAUACAGUUCACCACCGAUUAUUCCUACACCUUCCGGAGAUGCACCUCAAUUUAUUACAAAAACAGAAAAACUCGUAUUACCGAGGCCACCCACCCCACCGAAGGUUCCACGUGUCGAACCACCGACCAGAGUCUCAGUGAUUCAGAGGGUACCACACCAGAGUCAAGGUAACUCCAGAAGGGAAGAGAAGAUCGAAGUUCCUCAAAGUCAGGAGCCUGAGCAGGAUCAACCAAUAGAUUACGCUGUACCGAAAAGAAAGGAAGAAGACGAUGAGAGAGGUCGUGAGACCGCAAAAGCAUCACGAACCAUAUGUAAUUCUAUUGCCAGACCACUAUUGGCUAUGAGGCUUUCCGGGCCACAAAUUGUAACGGUAGGACUUGGAAGGACCUCUAACUCCGGCAAUAAUGGCUCUUCCGGUUCCAAUUCUAGUUCAAGCGGUAAUAAUUCGUCUUCUUCGGGCUCGUCUUCAUCGUCGAACUCCGGUAAUUCCUGUAGUUAUUCCGGAGGUGGAUCAUCCGGUGGGGGAGGUGGUGCUGUGGGUGGCGGUGCUGGUGGAGGUGGAAUGAAUCCUGGUGGUAAUGGGGGUCGAGGUAAUUAUGCCCCAAGUUCACCACCUACGGGUUCAUUACCACCAUUUUACGAGUCUCUCAAAGGUGGUAACAACCUGGCCAAUUUUGCAAACCAAUAUACCACCAGUCAAGGUAAUAACUACCUCACGCCGACCCCAGCAAUAGGAAUGGAAUGCGAUACGGGACAACAAGAUGUUAACUCGCAGCAUGCACAAUACAAUGCGCAGGAAGGCAAACAGUAUUCGUUACUGCAAAAUGUUUGUGCCUCCUAUGGUUUGGCACUUAAGGAAGAAGAGGAUCUUUCUGCUUAUAAGAUCCAACCGAAUGAUUUAUUAUCCGGUCAAUAUAAUACAUAUGACGUUACGGAAAACGGAAUGAUGGUCGACAUGGUGACAGGUGCAGUUGUUGAUCCAUUACAAAUAACAGCUACGUUGACCUUCAGCUCACCAUCUGAUCAUACGGCAUUGUUGGAAAGCCUAAGCGACGCGGCUGAAUUUCUAUUACCUAAAUUACAAUCAGGAGAAGGAGGGAACGAUUUACUCGAGGACUCGUUACAUUCGCCAGCCUCGGCUGGGAGUGGCAUAGUUCAAGAUGCAGGUCAAAUGACCACGCCCGUCGAACCCAGCGUAGACCCUUUUCCUGAGCAUAAUAUAGCCUUAACGAGAGGCUUCGAUGCAUCAAGGCAUUACAAUGGAACACAGCAACAGUUCAAUACUAAACUGGUUGGUUUGACCUAUGCCACUGGGGAAACUGGUUAUCAACCAAUCGCGAAAGAGCGAUCGGAAUUGGCAUUGCAUUUAAAUCAAAAUCAUCAGAAUCAAUCGGAACCGCAAUUGCAACAAUUGCAAAUACAAGUGCAAUUGCAGCAACAUCAGCAGCAGCAACAACAACAACAACAGCAACAACAACAGACUAAUAAUAUGUCGCCCCACCAUUCGCAACAGCAUCAAGGAUUGCUGAGCCCUGGUCUCAGUUUUGUUGGUAGCGGUGAGUUUCACUAUGUAUUUAGUGGUUUGGAAUUGGAUUCUGGUAGCAGCGUUGGUGGAAGUUUACCAAGUCCCGGUGCAACAAGUUGUUCUUUGGAUGGUGCUUCGACCAGCACAUCUCCGUCAUGUGCGUUAAUGGAACAUGCACCGAGUCCACCAAUUGGUGGAGUAUCGAACGGUGUGAACACUCAAGUAAACGGACAAGUUGCUGAACCUCCUUUAUCUCAACGGGUCGGUGUACUACAGCAAAGGUUGGGAUUACCAGGUGACUGUCAAUUAGAAUUCGUUAAUGGUGGUCAUGGUAUAAAAAAUCCUUUAGCUAUCGAAGGACAAAGACAAGCCACUACCAGUCGUGAAGAAGACAGAGCAGCACGACCAACAUCUGGAAAGGAGGAUGGACCAAUACGCUUCACUUGUCGCGUUUGCAGCAAACAAUUUAACUUGCAGCGGCUUUUAAAUCGACAUAUGAAAUGCCAUAGUGAUGUUAAACGCUACCUAUGUACAUUCUGUGGUAAAGGAUUUAACGACACAUUUGAUUUGAAAAGGCAUACGAGAACGCAUACAGGAGUGAGACCGUACAAAUGUAAUUUAUGCGAAAAGAGUUUCACUCAAAGAUGUUCUCUUGAAAGUCAUUGCCUAAAGGUUCAUGGUGUUCAACAUCAGUAUGCUUACAAGGAGAGACGUACCAAGGUUUACGUAUGCGAAGAAUGUGGACAUACUACUCAAGAACCGGAAGUACAUUAUCUUCACCUAAAAGACAAACACCCGUAUAGCCCAGCUUUACUCAAAUUUUACGAUAAACGUCACUUCAAGUUCACUAACAGCAAUUUCGCCAACAUGUUGCUACAGGUGCGCACGUAGACUCUCGAUCUAGUUUUGUCGUUAAACAAAUAAACAAAACAAUACACAAAUUUGAUUGAUAAGUUCUUAAGAACAAUUACAAUCGACAUCAAUUUCUGAUUAACGUGGAAAAGGAAAAGGAAUCGAAAGUGAGGGGUCUGGGAGGUGCUUAGAAAUUAAGGUGGCAUGCUGCAACGAGACUCGAGGAUUUCGGAAAGCUGCGUUAAGUCGGCCUCUAAAAGCAUCGACAAACCACUGCAGCGUGCCAC